UGUACUUCCUGUAAAGAGUUCCUGUAUAGAGUUUAUGCUCGAAAUGAUUCUUCUUUUAUCACCCCAAGCAACGUUUUUUCACAAAUUCCUCAGUAAACUCCCCGAGACGUCACCGUGGAGUUAAUUGAGUCUUUAAGCCGAUUUGAGAGCGAGCUUCCGCAGCUAGUGGAUCCAUAACAUAACUUCUAUUUUGUUUGAUCAGCCGACACCCUUUGGAAACAAUUAAGCACCGGGGCUAUCAUGGAACUGGGUUUCUGUGAUGUCACAACGCUGGUCGUACUUAUUUGGUAGUUACGUCAAGCUCUCAACCAGAGGAGCUCCUCCCCGUCUGCUUCAGGCUGUGACGAAACACCAAAAAGGGGGAGCUAUGGAGCAGGUUGGCGAGGCAUGGAGGCCUGCUCAAGUUCAAGUCCAGACAGCAGGAGAAGGUUUGACCUCAAAGGUGAGCUCCAGGUGUCAAUAAGGCUCCUCUGUCAGUGAAAGGUAUUCAAACUGGUGUGUGUG